rnacentral:tRNA from 1 species
GCGGAUGUGGCGGAACUGGCAGACGCGCUAGACUUAGGAUCUAGUGGGCAACCAUGGGGGUUCGAGUCCCUUCAUCCGCA